UACGAAGGGGGCUAGCGUUGUUCGGAAUUACUGGGCGUAAAGCGCACGUAGGCGGAUAUUUAAGUCAGGGGUGAAAUCCCAGAGCUCAACUCUGGAACUGCCUUUGAUACUGGGUAUCUUGAGUAUGGAAGAGGUAAGUGGAAUUCCGAGUGUAGAGGUGAAAUUCGUAGAUAUUCGGAGGAACACCAGUGGCGAAGGCGGCUUACUGGUCCAUUACUGGACGCU
rnacentral:rRNA from 1 species